UUGACCUCGGAUCAGGUAGGGAUACCCGCUGAACUUAAGCAUAUCAAUAAGCGGAGGAAAAGAAACCAACAGGGAUUACCUCAGUAACGGCGAGUGAAGCGGUAACAGCUCAAAUUUGAAAGCUGCCAACAGGCCGCGUUGUAAUUUGUAGAAGCUGCUUUGGGUGUCGGCCCGGUCUAAGUUCCUUGGAACAGGACGUCAUAGAGGGUGAGAAUCCCGUAUGUGAUCGGUGCCGUUGCCCGUGUAAAGCGCUUUCGACGAGUCGAGUUGUUUGGGAAUGCAGCUCAAAAUGGGUGGUAAAUUUCAUCUAAAGCUAAAUAUUGGCCAGAGACCGAUAGCGCACAAGUAGAGUGAUCGAAAGAUGAAAAGCACUUUGGAAAGAGAGUUAAACAGUACGUGAAAUUGUUGAAAGGGAAGCGCUUGCAACCAGACUUGCGGGCGGUCGAUCAUCCGAGGUUCUCCCCGGUGCACUCGAUCGUUCUCAGGCCAGCAUCGGUUUCCGGGGUGGGAUAAAGGCGGUGGGAAUGUGGCUCUUCGGAGUGUUAUAGCCCACCGUGCAAUGCCGCCACUGGGGACCGAGGACCGCGCUUCGGCUAGGAUGCUGGCGUAAUGGUUGUAAGCGACCCGUCUUGAA
rnacentral:rRNA from 1 species